rfam:Coniochaeta ligniaria NRRL 30616 unplaced genomic scaffold CONLIGscaffold_20, whole genome shotgun sequence.
GAAUUAGUAACUUAAUUGGUAAAGGGCUUCUUUAUUAUAAGAGUAGAUGCCGGUUCGAUCCCAAUCUAAUUCG